AGUAGAUAAAAAAUUUCCGAAAAACCAUUUUUCGAAUGUGUUUUAACAUUUCACUCGAUCUUCGGACUCGAAUUAAGAUUCUGGCGACACUCGAUCGAAUGGUGGCUUAUCGAAUCGGAUUCUAUGUUGGAAACAUUUUCUGCAUGGAUGAACGUACUUGUCUUCUAUUUCUACUGGAAAACUUAAGUUUAUACCUACUAUUGAUCGCUAACAUCUCUCAAUCUUGAUAUGGAAAAUCAAUUCAUCUAUUAUUAAAUCUGAUGGUAAAAAUAAUCGUUAAUUUGGUUGAUCAAUGAAUCCAAAACCAAUUCUGUUGGAA